rnacentral:rRNA from 1 species
GUCUACAGCCAUGCCACCCUGAACAUGCCCGAUCUCAUCUGAUCGCUGAAGCUAAGCAGGGUUGGGCCUGGUUAGUACUUGGAAGGGAGACCACCUAGGAAUACCGGGUGCUGUAGGCU